AUUGAACGCUGGCGGCAGGCCUAAUACAUGCAAGUCGAACGAGUGGCGGACGGGUGAGUAAUGUCUGGGAAAUUGCUCGAUGGAGGGGGAUAACUACUGGAAACGGUAGCUAAUACCGCAUACCAUCAGAUGUGCCCAGAUGGGAUUAGUUUGUUGGUGGGGUAACGGCUCACCAAGGCGAAGAUACCUAGCUGGUCUGAGAGGAUGACCAGCCACACUGUAACUGAGACACGGGCCAGACUCCUGCGGGAGGCAGCAGUGGAGAAUAUUGCACAAUGGUCGCGAGCCUGAUGCAGCCAUGCCGUGAGUAUGGAGGAGGCCUUCGGGUUGUAAAGUACUUUCAGCGGGGAAGCGUUACCCGCAGAAGAAGCACCGGCGAACUCCGUGCCAGCAGCCGCGGUAAUA
rnacentral:rRNA from 1 species